rnacentral:rRNA from 1 species
AUGUCAUUGUUGGCGACUUGUAUGCCGAUCUCCCACCGUCCUUGUCCCCGCCGACACUUUGAAGUGGUAAGCUUGCCCUCGAUCUUUAAUUACUCACUUUGCUUGCAUAUGACACUGCAAUUGCAAUAUGAUGCAAGUGUUAGUUAUAUGGUAGUGUGUACAUUGUCAUUCUCUACUUCGGCAAACAGUCCUGAAUUAACGCUGAUGUGGCCAAGUUACUUUCCACCCUUUAUAAUACUUAUUCAUAUUGCUUGUUGGUGUUUAAGUGCUAUUCUAAUGGUUAGUGUCAAUUCGAAAUCUGUGAAUUUCUGGAUAAGCAAGAAGUAUAUGUCUCUCAUCUUUUGA